AUACGGAGGGUCCAAGCGUUAUCCGGAAUCAUUGGGUUUAAAGGGUGCGCAGGCGGUUUAUUAAGUCAGUGGUGAAAUCUCGGGGCUCAACUCCGAAACUGCCAUUGAUACUGAUAAACUUGAGUUCAGUUGGAGUAGGCGGAAUGUGUAGUGUAGCGGUGAAAUGCUUAGAUAUUACACAGAACACCGAUAGCGAAGGCAGCUUACUAAACUGAUACUGACGCUGAGGCACGAAAGCGUGGGGAGCGAACAGGAUUAGAUACCCUAGUAGUCC
rnacentral:rRNA from 1 species